rnacentral:rRNA from 1 species
CGUGCAGGCGGCUCGCUAAGUCUGAUGUGAAAGCCCCGGGCUCAACCCGGGAAGUGCAUUGGAAACUGGCGAACUUGAGUAUGGGAGAGGGAAGUGGAAUUCCGAGUGUAGGGGUGAAAUCCGUAGAUAUUCGGAGGAACACCAGUGGCGAAGGCGGCUUCCUGGACCAAUACUAACGCUGAGACGCGAAAGCGUGGGGAGCAAACA